GACGAAUGAUGGAGGAGGGAGGAACACAUGCAAGUCGAACGGAAAGGCCCUGCUUUUGUGGGGUGCUCGAGUGGCGAACGGGUGAGUAACACGUGAGUAACCUGCCCUUGACUUUGGGAUAACUUCAGGAAACUGGGGCUAAUACCGGAUAGGAGCUCCUGCUGCAUGGUGGGGGUUGGAAAGUUUCGGCGGUUGGGGAUGGACUCGCGGCUUAUCAGCUUGUUGGUGGGGUAGUGGCUUACCAAGGCUUUGACGGGUAGCCGGCCUGAGAGGGUGACCGGCCACAUUGGGACUGAGAUACGGCCCAGACUCCUACGGGAGGCAGCAGUGGGGAAUAUUGCACAAUGGGCGGAAGCCUGAUGCAGCAACGCCGCGUGCGGGAUGACGGCCUUCGGGUUGUAAACCGCUUUCGCCUGUGACGAAGCGUGAGUGACGGUAAUGGGUAAAGAAGCACCGGCUAACUACGUG
rnacentral:rRNA from 1 species